UCACUGGGUGGCGAAUUUAUGU
rnacentral:siRNA from 1 species